rnacentral:rRNA from 1 species
CAGUAGCCGCGGUAAUACGAAGGGGGCUAGCGUUGUUCGGAUUUACUGGGCGUAAAGCGCACGUAGGCGGACUUUUAAGUCAGGGGUGAAAUCCCGGGGCUCAACCCCGGAACUGCCUUUGAUACUGGAAGUCUUGAGUAUGGUAGAGGUGAGUGGAAUUCCGAGUAUAGAGGUGAAAUUCGUAGAUAUUCGGAGGAACACCAGUGGCGAAGGCGGCUCACUGGACCAUUACUGACGCUGAGGCGCGAAAGCGUGGGGAGCAAACAGGAUUAGAUACCCGCGUAGUCCCUGUCUCUUAUAC